UAGAUAGAUUUUAAAAAUUAUCCGCCCGGGUACUACGAACACGAGUUUGAAACCCAAAGGACUUGGCGGUGCUUAACAUCCACCUAGAGGAGCCUGUUCUAGAACCGAUACCCCCCGUUCAACCUCACCUCCCCUGGUUUAAUCCCGCCUAUAUACCACCGUCGCCAGCUUACCCUGCAAAGGCCCCACAGUAAGCAAAACUAGCACUGCUCAGAACGUCAGGUCGAGGUGUAGCGAAUGAGGAGGGAAGAAAUGGGCUACAUUCGCUAUUCCCUAGCGCACAACGAAUGAUUGCAUUGAAAUACGUAUCUAAAGGAGGAUUUAGAAGUAAGCAAAAAAUAGAGUGUUUU
rnacentral:rRNA from 1 species